AGAGUUUGAUCCUGGCUCAGGAUGAACGCUAGCGGUGUGCCUAAAGCAUGCAAGUCGAACGGCAGCACGGGGGCAACCCUGGUGGCGAGUGGCGAACGGGUGAGUAAUGCAUCGGAACGUAUCCUUGAGUGGGGGAUAACGCAGCGAAAGUUGUGCUAAUACCGCAUAAGCUCUGAGGAGGAAAGCGGGGGACCGAAAGGCCUCGCGCUGAAGGAGCGGCCGAUGUCCGAUUAGCUGGUUGGUGGGGUAAAGGCCUACCAAGGCGACGAUCGGUAGCUGGUCUGAGAGGAUGAUCAGCCACACUGGGACUGAGACACGGCCCAGACUCCUACGGGAGGCGAC
rnacentral:rRNA from 1 species